rnacentral:rRNA from 1 species
UACGUAGGGGGCAAGCGUUGUCCGGAUUUAUUGGGCGUAAAGAGCGUGUAGGCGGCCAAGCAGGUCAGCUGUGAAAACUCGAGGCUCAACCUCGAGACGUCGGUUGAAACCGCUUGGCUAGAGUCCGGAAGAGGAGAGUGGAAUUCCCGGUGUAGCGGUGAAAUGCGCAGAUAUCAGGAGGAACACCGGUGGCGAAGGCGGUUCUCUGGGCAUUACCUGACGCUGAGGAGCGAAAGUGUGGGGAGCGAACAGG